rnacentral:rRNA from 1 species
AUGAGGGCGUCAAGCUGGCCGCCGGGUUCAGCCUCGCCGACCUGUUCCCAUCGUCGCGCCUCGCACGUGUAUUUAGUGGCUCGACGCGAGAUAGGCCAGGUCAUAGACCGCAUCAUCGAGGACCAUCGCACGAGGUGGUCGGCCGGUGCCAGCGAUGAAGACCUCGUGGACGUGCUGCUGAGGGUCCAGAAUGACGGCAGCCUCCACGUGCCUCUUGACGUUGGAAACAUCCGUGCCGUGAUUACCGAUAUGUUUUCGGGGGGAAGCGAGACCUCGGUGACAACACUCCAGUGGGCGAUGGCGGAGCUCAUGCGAAGCCCGGCGGUGAGAGUUGCAUCGGUGAGGAGGCCCUGCAGGAGCUGCGAUAUUUGCAUCUAG